rnacentral:rRNA from 1 species
AGUGAACGCUGGCGGUAAGCCUAACACAUGCAAGUCGAACGGCAGCACAGGAGAGCUUGCUCUCUGGGUGGCGAGUGGCGGACGGGUGAGGAAUACAUCGGAAUCUACUCUGUCGUGGGGGAUAACGUAGGGAAACUUACGCUAAUACCGCAUACGACCUACGGGUGAAAGCAGGGGACCUUCGGGCCUUGCGCGAUUGAAUGAGCCGAUGUCGGAUUAGCUAGUUGGCGGGGUAAAGGCCCACCAAGGCGACGAUCCGUAGCUGGUCUGAGAGGAUGAUCAGCCCCACUGGAACUGAGACACGGGCCAGACGCCUACGGGAAGCAGCAGGGGGGAAUAUUGGACAAUGGGCGCAAGCCUGAUCCAGCCAUACCGCGUGGGUGAAGAAGGCCUUCGGGUUGUAAAGCCCUUUUGUUGGGAAAGAAAUCCAGCUGGCUAAUACCCGGUUGGGAUGACGGUACCCAAAGAAUAAGCACCGGCUAACUUCGUGCCAGCCGCCGCCGUAA